UAUGGCAUGCAAAAGAAUUAAACAGUUGACAACAAGUGGACAAGCAGGGAACAUUAAAGUUAAAGUAAUAAAAAUGUGGGAAUCAAUCAAUUUUGCAACCGAUGAACUUAUGAGCCUAGAUAUGAUUCUUAUGGAUGAGCAGGGCGAGACUAUUCAUGCUACUAUUUGGAAAACUCUAAUCAAUAAUUAUAAAGCCAAGAUCAAUGAGGGUUCUAUCUAUGAGCUAAGCAAUUUUAAAGUCCAAGAAGAUACCAGAUAUCGUCCAGUUAAUAAUGCUUUGAAAGUAGUUUUCAUUUUUAAUACCAAUGUCAAAGAAGUGGAAGAUUGUUCAGAUAAAUUUCCAGACUAUUACUUUGAGUUUGCCUCUAAAGAUACACUGCUUGCAAGGA